rnacentral:rRNA from 1 species
GCAUGCUCCUCGCUCAGAGCAGACGAGGCAGCUGUGCUCCUCUGACGUUAGCGGCGGACGGGCCGGAGCUAAUACCGGAUAAUAUAUUGAACCGCAUGGUUCAAUAGUGAAAGACGGUUUUGCUGUCACUUAUAGAUGGAUCCGCGCCGCAUUAGCCAAGGCAACGAUGCGUAGCCGACCUGAGAGGGUGAUCGGCCACACUGGAACUGAGACACGGUCCAGACUCCUACGGGAGGCAGCAGUAGGGAAUCUUCCGCAAUGGGCGAAAGCCUGACGGAGCAACGCCGCGUGAGUGAUGAAGGUCUUCGGAUCGUAAAACUCUGUUAUUAGGGAAGAACAAAUGUGUAAGUAACUAUGCACGUCUUGACGGUACCUAAUCAGAAAGCCACGGCUAACUACGUGCCAGCAGCCGCGGUAAUACGUAGGUGGCAAGCGUUAUCCGGAAUUAUUGGGCGUAAAGCGCGCGUAGGCGGUUUUUUAAGUCUGAUGUGAAAGCCCACGGCUCAACCGUGGAGGGUCAUUGGAAACUGGAAAACUUGAGUGCAGAAGAGGAAAGUGGAAUUCCAUGUGUAGCGGUGAAAUGCGCAGAGAUAUGGAGGAACACCAGUGGCGAAGGCGACUUUCUGGUCUGUAACUGACGCUGAUGUGCGAAAGCGUGGGGAUCAAACAGGAUUAGAUACCCUGGUAGUCCACGCCGUAAACGAUGAGUGCUAAGUGUUACGGGGUUUCCGCCCCCUUACUGCUGCAGCUAACGCAUUAACCACUCCGCCUGGGGGAGUACGACCGCAAGGGUGAAACUCAAAGGAAUUGACGGAGGACCCGCACAAGCCGGUGGAGCAGGUGAGUUUAAUUCGAAGCAACGCGAAGAACCUUACCAAAUCUUGACAUCCUCUGACCCCUCUAGAGAUAGAGUUUUCCCCUUCGGGGGACAGAGUGACAGGUGGUGCAUGGUUGUCGUCAGCUCGUGUCGUGAGAUGUUGGGUUAAGUCCCGCAACGAGCGCAACCCUUAAGCUUAGUUGCCAUCAUUAAGUUGGGCACUCUAAGUUGACUGCCGGUGACAAACCGGAGGAAGGUGGGGAUGACGUCAAAUCAUCAUGCCCCUUAUGAUUUGGGCUACACACGUGCUACAAUGGACAAUACAAAGGGCAGCGAAACCGCGAGGUCAAGCAAAUCCCAUAAAGUUGUUCUCAGUUCGGAUUGUAGUCUGCAACUCGACUAUAUGAAGCGGGAAUCGUUAGUAAUCGUAGAUCAGCAUGAUACGGUGAAAAGGUUCCCGGGUAUUGUACUCCCGGCCCAUCACGUCGUAACAAGGUAACCCUAGAGUUUGCUCCUGGCUCAGGAAGUCGUAACAACGUAACCGUAGAG